GUUUAGGUGGCAGAGCCCGGUAACUUGCAAAAGGCCUAAGCCCUUUGAACAGAGGUUCAAAUCCUCUCCUUAACU
rnacentral:tRNA from 1 species